UUAAGUUCAGCGGGUAGUCUCACCCGAUUUGAGGUCAAGGUUUUAUUUUUGUGGGUCCAGCCUUCCACCGAUAUAAAACGGUAGUGACCGGAGCACCAUCAUUGUCCGUGAGACAGUUAGAAGCAGGCAUCCAAGGGACAGUGCCAAAUCCAAAACGUAGAAACAUCUUAUCACGUUAAGGAUCAGCAAAGCGGAUCCCA
rnacentral:misc_RNA from 1 species